GGCUGAUCCUGGACCAUCCCACAGAUGCUCAAUCAGAUCUGGAUGUGGGGAGUGUGGAACCCAGAUGUUCAGAGGGAGAUGAUGCCACAUCUGGUCCAGCCGAUGGAAGGUCUUGAAGUUCUCUGACUGGCCUCGACUGAAGAUGGUCGUCUCACUGGAUUUAAGGUUCAGAUGCUCAGUAAUAAACUCCACCAAUGUGUCAUCAGGGAAGCUUUAGGUUUAUUGAAUGUUGCUAUGAAGGUUUCGCUGUUUUUCUUUAUGAAUGCAAUGUGCUCCAACUGAAACUUGAAUUAGAACUUAGAAGUAAAUCCUUCCAUCUGAAAGGAUUUAGUUGCAUUAAUAACCUCAUAACGUUCUAAUUUUUAUUCCAGUCUUGGUUGAAAAUAGAAUCUCUGUAUUGAUUCAGGUAAAAACUGAACUUCACAGCAUGUUGAAGCAAAACAACCAGAUGAAAACUGUGAUGGUGUUGGAUUGUCAGACCGUAAUGUUGCAGCUCAAAGCAGCUUUUCUAUCUCAGUUCAUUCUGACAUUCAGCUAUGAAUCAACACAGCAGAUGGUGAUCCAUGCUGUGGAAGUCUCACAUCUCCUGAUUUAAUGGAGCUGCUUUGCACUUUUUACACUGUUUAUUCAUCAACACUUUAUUUAAUAA
ensembl:lncRNA